UUUUGAAUAGAAGUCAAAGGAGCUUGCAAAGAAAAGCGUCUGGACUUCUUUAAGUUGUUUGAAGACGUUUCACCUCUCAUCCGAGAAGCUUCUUCAGUUCUGAAUAGAAGCGUGCUGAUCCACACAGGUGUGCACACGGGUGUUCACAGACACAAACUACACCUUUCUUGGGUGCUACCUCAAAGCACAUUGUGCGCUGUCGAUCUUGUGUACUGCACAAUAACAUUUAGUAUUUAGUAUCUACUGUUAUCUACUGUUAGCUAGUUUAUUGUGAUGGUGUUGUAUUUAUUAUGUUACUCUUUUUGGUUUGUUUUCUCUUCUGUUUUUUCUUAUACAGUUGAUCCAGGUGUUGUAUUUGUUUUUUCUUUUUUUUCUUCCCCCCUUUCUCACCGUCUCUUCUCCCCUCUAUUUUUCUUUCUCUCCCUCUCUUUCUUUCAUUCUUUCUCCCUGUCCUAUCCCCCAGUCAUGUCUGUCCCGUCUGUAACAACCGAAAAUCAAAGCAAAUAAAUAGAUAAUUAUAAUUAAAUACAUAAUUAAAUGGACCAAUAUGGCAAGGCCAUGAUGAUCCAAUUGGUAAAGUAAAUUCGCUUGGCAUCUUUCUUGGCCUUCAGACAACAAUUCUGAUGGCUAAAGAUCCAAAAGGGACAGGCAAAUCAAAUAAAUAAAUAAAAAUAAAAACAAAAAAAUGCCCAAAAAAAAGAAAAAAAGAGAGAAAAGAAAACUAACUCUUACAGACACAUCACACAUGUGUGACUGGAUAAUUAGAUUCAAAAACAACAUUGGUUUUGUUAUUGGGUCUCUAGAAGGCAAAAGGAAAGACAAGCAAACUGCCAUUUAUCAAUAACAUCAAGAUCCAAAGAGGGAUAAAAAAAAAUCUAUUAAAUAUUCUAAAACCAUCAUUUAAAAUGAGUUCAUAUCAAUUGUUAAUACUUUCUUUCAUCCAUUUGGUGAUGAUGUGCAGUGUUAAAAGAAUGAAAAACAGCUUUAUGAUUUAUUCAAAUAAUAAAUCAAACAAUGAUCCACAUAAACAGGCUCUUGUGGAAAAUUUCAAAAUUACUUUAAAUAGGAGUUCAGCAUUCAAUGCUGUAAAGUAAAUAUCCAGAAACCCUCUCUUCUCUUCUCUAAUAAAUCAUGGUGUCCUCCACUAGGUGGUGCUGAGGACAAAAAUUGUGAGGACACUGAGCUUGUUCUCACUCCCGAGGCGGAACAUCCCAACGUUUUUGUUGCGACACUAUAUCACGUUUCAUGUCAUUAAAGUGGGCUAAAACACUGUAAUUCAACACAAAUAAUGAUAAGCAAUACACUGUGUGGAGGUCAAAUUAUAAACAUGUAUAUACAUUAUAAGCUCAGAGAUUUGUGCUGACUUCUUUUUUUUUAUAAUAAGAUAGUAAUUAAAUGUGUAUUAAAAUGACAACCCUGCUUUAAAU
ensembl:lncRNA